GGUUAGUAAUUAACUGUACCGAAGACAGUAGGUGGCGUAAGCCUUAAUUUCCUACCGAGGACAUUUAUUGAGAACAUUCAAUAGUCCCUCUAUGUCUACGGUGGCAUAGGGUAUUUUUUUGUAAAAA
rfam:Enterococcus pallens ATCC BAA-351 genomic scaffold acvKb-supercont1.7, whole genome shotgun sequence.